rnacentral:lncRNA from 1 species
GUUUACAGGGCCCUGUCCAGGUGACGAUAGCAUCCUGCAGCUCCUCGCUCAGUUCCCAAGUCGGUCCUCGGGGAGAGGCUCCCUGCCUGUGAGUAUCUCCCCUUGCCUUCCCCAGGCAGCGUGAUCCUGGAGAAACCAUUUCCAUUUUACUUUGGAACUCCUCUGGGCACUGCCAGGCCCAUUAGAGCGCUUCUCCGACAUCACCCAAGACACUGUGGGCAUUUCAGGCUUCAGGAUCAUUGUGUGUCCUUCGGUCAUCGGGGUAGCUUCCAUUAACGUCCAACAGCAAGUACAAAGUUGUAUAUUCUAGCUGGGAGUGCUCCUGGUCAUCCUACAUGGGACGCCGCCUCAGCCUGGCCUGAUGAGCGGUGCCAUGUCCGUGCCCAGGGGCUGAACCAGUGAAACCCUGGGCUGCCGGAGCAGAGCGCGCGAAUUUAACCACUCGUCCACUCGGCCGGCCCCAGCAGGGGAUCUUAUAGAGCUAAGGGGCUUGGCAGGAGGAGUUUCAAGAAACAAAGAGGUAAUCCAUGCUUCUUUCACUCCAGAGAUGCAAUCACCAACCACCCUGAACCAGCCCAAACCCUACCACAAGAGUGAUGACUGCGCAGACGGGCUGAAAAGUGCCCAAGAUUGACCUUCGCCUCAUUUUUAAUGCUAAGAUCUCCGCUCUAGGAGGAGUUUAGGCUUUAUUACCAUAACAUGUGAUGUAUGUGGAAGCAUGUUUUCCAGCUGAGCCUGUGCAAGCAAAUACCCACCUCUCCCUUUUGAAUAUUCAUUCCCCAUCCCAGAU